AUUGAACGCUGGCGGCGUGCUUAACACAUGCAAGUCGAACGAAGUGGCGAACGGGUGAGUAACGCGUAAUCAACCUGCCCUUCAGAGGGGGACAACAGUUGGAAACGACUGCUAAUACAGAAUACUGCGGGAGGGGGUUGCGUCGGAUUAGCUAGUUGGAGGGGUAACGGCCCACCAAGGCGAUGAACAGUAGCCGGUCUGGGAGGAUGAACGGCCACAUUGGGACUGAGACACGGCCCAGACUCCUACGGGAGGCAGCAGUGGGGAAUCUUCCGCAAUGGACGAAAGUCUGACGGAGCAACGCCGCGUGAGUGAUGACGGCCUUCGGGUUGUAAAGCUCUGUUAUUCGGGACUCGGUACCGGAAUAGAAAGCCACGGCUAACUACGUGCCAGCAGCCGCGGUAAUAC
rnacentral:rRNA from 1 species